rfam:Nocardioides sp. Root190 contig_11, whole genome shotgun sequence.
UCCGCCCGGGUCCGUGGUUGCGCUGUACAGGCUGGGCAGAAGCCCGGCCAGGUGCGGCAAGCCGAUGCCAGUCGCAGGCGAAACGGUCCACGUAAGUCGACCUCCGGGUCGACGAUCACGGUGCGGCUUAGUCGUCAGUCCUGCCUCGAACCGGACGUCAGAUGCGUCCGACUUCGGGAGAAGGUCAGUAGUGGCACCAAGCUGCGGGAGCCUCAGCAGGCGGGUGUGGGGGAGAAGACCAGGUCGGCCGGGCGGA